rnacentral:piRNA from 1 species
UGGGGUGGAUAGCUCUUCCGAAGGGCUGU